GACGGAGGAUGCAAGCGUUAUCGCGAAUGAUUGGGCGUAAAGCGUCCGCAGGUGGCAGUUCAAGUCUGCUGUCAAAGACCGGGGCUUAACUUCGGAAAGGCAGUGGAAACUGAACAGCUAGAGUAUGGUAGGGGCAGAGGGAAUUCCUGGUGUAGCGGUGAAAUGCGUAGAGAUCAGGAAGAACAUCGGUGGCGAAGGCGCUCUGCUGGACCAUAACUGACACUCAGGGACGAAAGCUAGGGGAGCGAAUGGG
rnacentral:rRNA from 1 species